AUUGAACGCUGGCGGCAGGCUUAACACAUGCAAGUCGAGCGGAGAUGAGGUGCUUGCACCUUAUCUUAGCGGCGGACGGGUGAGUAAUGCUUAGGAAUCUGCCUAUUAGUGGGGGACAACAUUCCGAAAGGAAUGCUAAUACCGCAUACGCCCUACGGGGGAAAGCAGGGGAUCUUCGGACCUUGCGCUAAUAGAUGAGCCUAAGUCGGAUUAGCUAGUUGGUGGGGUAAAGGCCUACCAAGGCGACGAUCUGUAGCGGGCCUGAGAGGAUGAUCCGCCACACUGGGACUGAGACACGGCCCAGACUCCUACGGGAGGCAGCAGUGGGGAAUAUUGGACAAUGGGCGGAAGCCUGAUCCAGCCAUGCCGCGUGUGUGAAGAAGGCCUUUUGGUUGUAAAGCACUUUAAGCGAGGAGGAGGCUACCUGGAUUAAUACUCUAGGAUAGUGGACGUUACUCGCAGAAUAAGCACCGGCUAACUCUGUGCCAGCCGCCGCGGUAAUAC
rnacentral:rRNA from 1 species